rnacentral:rRNA from 1 species
UACGAAGGGGGCUAGCGUUGUUCGGAAUUACUGGGCGUAAAGCGCACGUAGGCGGACAUUUAAGUCAGGGGGUGAAAUCCCAGAGCUCAACUCUGAACUGCCUUUGAUACUGGGUGUCUUGAGUAUGGAAGAGGUGAGUGGAAUUCCUGGUGUAGCGGUGAAAUGCGCAGAUAUCAGGAGGAACACCAAUUGCGAAGGCAGCUCGCUGGGACGUAACUGA